AUUGAACGCUGGCGGCAGGCCUAACACAUGCAAGUCGAGCGGCAGCACGGGUACUUGUACCUGGUGGCGAGCGGCGGACGGGUGAGUAAUGCCUAGGAAUCUGCCUGGUAGUGGGGGAUAACGCUCGGAAACGGACGCUAAUACCGCAUACGUCCUACGGGAGAAAGCAGGGGACCUUCGGGCCGUUGCGCUAUCAGAUG
rnacentral:rRNA from 1 species